UACGUAGGGGGCAAGCGUUGUCCGGAUUUACUGGGCGUAAAGAGCGUGUAGGCGGCCAAGCAGGUCCGUUGUGAAAACUGGAGGCUUAACCUCCAGACGUCGACGGAAACCGCGUGGCUAGAGUCCGGAAGAGGAGAGUGGAAUUCCUGGUGUAGCGGUGAAAUGCGCAGAUAUCAGGAAGAACACCAAUGGCGAAAGCAGGUAACUGGACUAUUACUGACACUCAGCUGCGAAAGCUAGGGGAGCAAACAGG
rnacentral:rRNA from 1 species